rnacentral:rRNA from 1 species
UACGUAGGGUGCAAGCGUUGUCCGGAAUCAUUGGGCGUAAAGAGCGCGUAGGCGGCCCUGUAAGUCCGCUGUGAAAGUCAAGGGCUCAACCCUUGGAUGCCGGUGGAUACUGCAGGGCUAGAGUCCGGAAGAGGCGAGUGGAAUUCCUGGUGUAGCGGUGGAAUGCGCAGAUAUCAGGAGGAACACCAAUGGCGAAGGCAGCUCGCUGGGACGGUACUGACGCUGAGACGCGAAAGCGUGGGGAGCGAACAGG